ACAGUGUUACCGGCAUCAUACAUUUACCUCUUAUUACUGUGUAUCCAGUUUCUUUGGAGAAAAUAAUGUUUGCUGCGAUACCUGCAACAUUGUUAAUCGCCAUGACAAUGAUUUUGAUAAACCAACACUUCGUCGAAUUAAGCAGCUGGCAUCCUUAUGGCAAUGACUCGCACUACCCUCCACCUUCGAUCGACAGCGGAGGGCUGCAUGGAACAGCCUGCAGUAACCAACCGUGCAACUACAUGAAAAAUGGGGAACACCAAGGGUGCCCCAAGGACUGUAUAUGCAAGCCAAAUGGGCGAACCGAUCAAGACGGACCUGGAGUUUGCGUCGAUAUGCCGUAAAUUUGGUCGGUAGUAGUGCCUCAAAAAAAAAAAGUGAAAUAAAGGGCCUAAGAGUAACACAACAU